AUUGAACGUUGGCGGCAUGCUUUACACAUGCAAGUCGAACGGUAACAGGCCUUCGGGUGCUGACGAGUGGCGAACGGGUGAGUAAUGCAUCGGAACGUGCCCAAUCGUGGGGGAUAACGGUAGCGAAAGUUACGCUAAUACCGCAUAAGCCCUGAGGGGGAAAGCAGGGGAUCGCAAGGACCUUGCGCGAAUGGAGCGGCCGAUGUCAGAUUAGCUAGUUGGUGGGGUAAAGGCCUACCAAGGCGACGAUCUGUAGCGGGUCUGAGAGGAUGAUCCGCCACACUGGGACUGAGACACGGCCCAGACUCCUACGGGAGGCAGCAGUGGGGAAUUUUGGACAAUGGGCGCAAGCCUGAUCCAGCCAUGCCGCGUGCGGGAA
rnacentral:rRNA from 1 species